CAAUAGCGUAUAUUUAAGUUGUUGCAGUUAAAAAGCUCGUAGUUGGAUUUCGGUUAAGAGCGACCGGUCCGCCGUUUGGUGUGCGCUGGUUGGUUUUAACUUCCUGUAGAGGACGUGCUCUGGGUUUAACGACCUGGACUCGGAGUCUACGUGGUUACUUUGAAAAAAUUAGAGUGUUCAAAGCGGGCUUACGCUUGAAUAUUUCAGCAUGGAAUAACACUAUAGGACUCCUGUCCUAUUUCGUUGGUCUCGGGACGGGAGUAAUGAUUAAGAGGAACAGUUGGGGGCAUUCGUAUUUCAUUGUCAGAGGUGAAAUUCUUGGAUUUAUGAAAGACGAACUUCUGCGAAAGCAUUUGCCAAGGAUGUUUUCAUUAA
rnacentral:rRNA from 1 species